UCUGAGUAACUAUGUUCUGCAGGAGGGUCAUUUUGUAGUCAUUCUGUUGAUCUUCUUAUGUUAGCUCUAAAUAUAAUUGCUCGGUUUGUAAUCAUUCUUUCACAUAUAAUUACAAUGAAUAUAAUGAUUCCUACAAUAGAAAUUGUAGACCCAAUUCUUGAUACUACGUUUCAUGAUGUAUAUGCGUCUGGGUAGUCAGAGUAUCGUCGAGGUAUUCCUGCUAAUCCUAGGAAGUGUUGAGGAAAGAAUGUUAAAUUUACUCCAAUGAAUAUAAUUGUAAAUUGGAUUUUUAAUCAUGUAUUAUUUAUAGUUAAUCCUGUAAAUAGUGGAUAUCAUUGAAUGACACCUCCUAUAAUUGCAAAUACUGCUCCUAUAGAUAAUACAUAAUGAAAGUGGGCUACUACAUAAUAUGUAUCAUGUAAUACAAUAUCAAGUGAUGAAUUUGCUAAUACUAAUCCUGUUAAUCCACCAAUUGUAAAUAGGAAAAUAAAUCCUAGAGCUCAUAAUAAUGGUGGAUUGAACUUGAAUUUAGUUCCAUAUAAUGUAGCUAAUCAUCUAAAUACCUUAAUUCCUGUAGGUACAGCAAUAAUUAUUGUUGCUGAUGUAAAAUAUGCUCGUGUGUCAACAUCCAUUCCUACUGUAAAUAUAUGAUGUGCUCAUACAAUAAAUCCUAUUAGUCCAAUUGAUAGUAUAGCAUAAAUUAUACCUAAUGUUCCAAAUGAUUCAAUUUUUCCUCUUUCUUGACAUACAAUAUGUGAAAUAAUUCCGAACCCCGGUAGAAUUAAAAUAUAAACUUCUGGGUGUCCAAAGAAUCAAAAUAGAUGUUGAUAUAGAAUUGGGUCACCCCCUCCUGCAGGGUCAAAGAAUGAUGUAUUUAAAUUUCGAUCUGUUAAUAAUAUAGUAAUAGCUCCUGCUAAAACUGGAAGUGAAAGAAGGAGAAGUAAUGCUGUAAUAGCUACAGAUCAUACAAAUAA